CCAGACUCCUACGGGAGGCAGCAGUGGGGGAUAUUGCACAAUGGGGGCAACCCUGAUGCAGCGACGCCGCGUGAGCGAUGGGGUACUUCGGUAUGUAAAGCUCUGUCAGCAGGGAAGAGAAUGACGGUACCUGACCAAGAAGCCCCGGCUAAAUACGUGCCAGCAGCCGCGGUAAUACGUAUGGGGCAAGCGUUAUCCGGAUUUACUGGGUGUAAAGGGAGCGUAGACGGCAGCGCAAGUCUGAAGUGAAAUGCCGGGGCUUAACCCCGGAACUGCUUUGGAAACUGAGCAGCUAGAGUGCAGGAGAGGUAAGUGGAAUUCCUAGUGUAGCGGUGAAAUGCGUAGAUAUUAGGAGGAACACCAGUGGCGAAGGCGGCUUACUGGACUGUAGCUGACGUUGAGGCUCGAAAGCGUGGGGAGCAAACAGGAUUAGAUACCCGAGUA
rnacentral:rRNA from 1 species